GGGGUUGUAGCUCAGUGGUAGAGCACUUGCCUAGCAUUCAUGAGACGCUGAGUUCAAUACCCAGCACCA
rfam:Heterocephalus glaber contig230212, whole genome shotgun sequence.